CCAGCCGGCCGGACGGCCGCGUCAUCCGCAAGGAUGCCGAGGAAAGUCCGGGCUCCACGGAUACACGGUGCCGGAUAACGUCCGGCGGGGGCGACCCCAGGGAAAGUGCCACAGAAAUCAGACCGCCGCGGGUCCGCCCGCGGCAAGGGUGAAACGGUGCGGUAAGAGCGCACCGCGCUUCCGGUAACGGCGGCGGCACGGUAAACCCCACCGGGAGCAAAGUCGUAUAGGGGCGGCACGGCCAUCGGUUCGCCGAUGCCAGGUCCUGUUUCCGGAUCGCCGCCCGGGUUGACUGCUAGAGGCGCCGGGUAAUCGGCGUCCCAGAGGAAUGGUCGUCACGCGGGAGCAAUCCCGCCUUACAGAACCCGGCUUACAGGCCGGCUGGCACU
rnacentral:RNase_P_RNA from 1 species